GACGAACGCUGGCGGCGUGCCUAACACAUGCAAGUCGAACGGUGAAGCGCCUUCCUUUUUGGUGGGAGUGGAGGAGCGGCGAACGGGGGAGUAACACGUGAGUAACCUGCUCCCUCCUGCUGGACAACCGCAAGAAAGUGUGGCUAAUACGGGAUAUUUUGAGCCUCUCGGAUGAUGGGUCUGGGAAAGUCUUUGUUUCGGUUGGGGAUGGGGUCGCGCACCAUCGGCUUGUUGGUGGGGUGAUGGCUUACCAAGGCGGUGAUGGGUAGCCGGCCUGAGAGGGUGGGCCACCACACUGCGACUGAACCGCGGACACGCCUCCUGCGGGAGGCAGCAGUGGAGAUUAUUGCACGAUGGGAGCCAGGCUGAUGCAGCGCCGCCGCGUGGAGGAUGGAGGCCUUCGGGUUGUGAACCUCUUUCGCCAGUGAAGCAAGCCUGCCUCGUUUGUGGGUGGGUUGACGGUAGCUGGAUAAGAAGCGCCGGCUAACUACGUG
rnacentral:rRNA from 1 species